rnacentral:rRNA from 1 species
GACGAACGCUGGCGGCGUGCUUAACACAUGCAAGUGGAGCGACGAACCAGGCUUCGGCCUGGGGCAAAGCCGCGAACGGGUGAGUAACACGUGGGUAACCUGCCCCGAUGACUGGGACAACCCGAGGAAACUCGGGCUAAUACCGGAUGUACUUACAUCACACAAGUGAUGCAAGCAAAGAUAGCUUCGGCCUUCGCAUCGGGAGUGGGCCCGGCCGG